rnacentral:rRNA from 1 species
GGAUUAGAUACCCUGGUAGUCCAUGCCGUAAACGAUGAGAACUAGCCGUUGGAUCUCUUAGAAGAUUUAGUGGCGCAGCUAACGCAAUAAGUUCUCCGCCUGGGGAGUACGGCCGCAAGGCUAAAACUCAAAUGAAUUGACGGGAGCCCGCACAAGCGGUGGAGCAUGUGGUUUAAUUCGAUGCAACGCGAAAAACCUUACCUACACUUGACAUCCUGCGAAUUUUCUAGAAAUAGAUUAGUGCCUUCGGGAACGCAGUGACAGGUGCUGCAUGGCUGUCGUCAGCUCGUGCUG